rnacentral:rRNA from 1 species
GUAGGUGGCAAGCGUUGUCCGGAAUUAUUGGGCGUAAAGCGCGCGCAGGCUGUUCUUUAAGUCUGAUGUGAAAGCCCACGGCUCAACCGUGGAGGGUCAUUGGAAACUGGAGAACUUGAGUACAGAAGAGGAAAGCGGAAUUCCACGUGUAGCGGUGAAAUGCGUAGAGAUGUGGAGGAACACCAGUGGCGAAGGCGGCUUUCUGGUCUGUAACUGACGCUGAGGCGCGAAAGCGUGGGGGAGCAAACAGGAUUAGAUACCCUGGUAGUCCACGCCGUAAACGAUGAGUGCUAAGUGUUAGGGGGUUUCCGCCCCUUAGUGCUGCAGCUAACGCAUUAAGCACUCCGCCUGGGAGUACGGCCGCAAGGCUG